ensembl:lncRNA
CUUUAAAGGAGGUGCUGUUCACAUUUAUACUCGGGAGCUUCAGUCCACUCACAGCCAAUGAGCAGCACGACCGUAGCAGCUGUUUAGGGCGGGACCCAUCCAGACUUGAACUAGCAACCCUCCAAAUCAAGGUUCAUCUCACAAUCAAGAGGACGUAACAGGCCCAACGUGUGACCUUAACUAAUCCUGAUUAAAUGAUCAAACUGUAUUGGUUUUUGGUCAUGAUCAAACUUCAUUUCUUCUGUAUCUGCCCUUCAUAUCAUUUUUAAAUUAGAAGGUUACAUGACACCUACAUGUGAGCGAAAGAGAUAUUUUAGAGUCUUGCGUUUUUGUCAAGCCGUCGUUUAAUUUAGGGUUGUUACCUUAAUGGAAGUAUGUCAGUUGCCAUGGCAACAGUCGACAAACUCUUGAGCCUGGAUGUUGAAAGUUUUUUUUCGUACUGAAGUAAAGUACAAGGUGUACCAAAGUUUUACUUUGCAGCCAUGAUUUUGUUCAGUCCAAUUGACUGUGGAGGGAGGCAGGAGAUGAGUGGAGGUUAUGAGAACUGCUUCAUUAUGAAGAAAGUUGUUACAGGGAAGCACUAAGUUAUUCUGAGGAGAAGAAAUUAUUUUUUAUUGGAGGAAUGUUUAGCUUGGUGGAGUUUUUGGGUGAUGCUACUUUUGCAUCUUCAUCCAAAACCUUUCCAAUUGCCAUCUUAUGAGCAAUGGGAUGUUAAAAGGCUGGGAAAUGGACACGGGAGGCAAGACUCCUCGGCUAACUGUUUCAUACAGAUGGAGGUCAGGGUGUCGCACAGACCGGGACGACAACAACAAACUAACCAGGGGCAGCUGGACUGGGAGGAUGGGGGGAGGCCAAAGAAAGGCUUAGCAGACUGUGGGGAGACAAGAGGCCUCAUCUGCAGUGUCUCGUAAUGGAGGUUGGAGAGGGGGGGAGGAAAUGGGAGACGAGAGAGAUGGUUCCCACUGCUAGCGCCUCCUUCAGCUUGAAACUAAUUAUGAACAAGACGUUCAAAUUAUUCAUGAGAUAAAUGCUGCGGACCUUUCAGAAAGAAGAGUUUGUUUUCACAAGACAAAAUCUGGCUUCUUUUCUCAUAUUUAUUUUGCUCUUUUUCUUAUGUCCCAGAACAAUAUCCAGGUUCCUCAACUGGCCAACAAUUGCAUAAACAACCAUAGAAAGAAACGAAACAUUAAAAAAAAUUCUUAAUUGAUAAAAAAUACACUGAAAUAGAACAUUAGUGUGAAAAACCGAGCACCCCAAGACAUUAUCAUACAGUUUUGUUUUGUUUUUUUUUAUCUGAAAUAUCUGAUUAUAUGGAAGCUUUUUUAUUAACACCCCACUUAAAGUACUUUUUUCACUUAUGGAAUUAGUUUGCAGAGACCUUAGUAACCAAAAAUUAAAAAAAUAAAAGCUCUUUGUUUGCUUUUUCCCAACAAGAAAUUUCAUAGUUUUUCUCAGUUUUUGCAGAAACUUGAUUGUGAAUAAAGCUGAUUCUGUUUCCAAAAUGAAUGGAUUUUCUCCAACUGCUUAAUCUUUCUGAAAACUGAACAUUCUAAAAGUUUUGACUUGUGAAAAAAGUUGAGCCUUUUGGGGGAGUCACAUCAGAUCUUUGCUUGCUGCUCUGUUCUAUUGAUGAUUUGCUGUCAUGCAGAUGAUUUUUAAAGCUUCAUUUAUUUUUUGACAAAAC